rnacentral:lncRNA from 1 species
UUUUUGUUUUUUUUUCUUAUGGUUACCAUUGCUGUGCCAAAUCUUGUCAGUUUGAUUAGAUCCCAUUGGUUUAUUUUUGCUUUUAUUUCUGUUGCCUUGGGAGACUAACCUGAGAAAACAUUUGUAAGGUUGAUGUCAGAGAAUGUUUUGCCUAUGUUCUCUUCCAGGAGUUCGAUGGUGUCUUAUGUUUAAGCCUUUAAGCCUUUUUGAGUUUAUUUUCAUGCAUGGUGUGAGGGUGUGUUCCAGUUUCAUUGAAUUACACGUGGCUGUCCAGUUUUCCCAGCAUCACUUGCUGAAAAGACUGUCUUUUCCCCAUUUUAUAUUCUUGCCUCCUUUGUCAAAGAUUAAUUGACCAUAGGUGUCUGGGUUUAUUUCUGGGUUCUCCAUUCUGUUCCACUGGUCUGUCUGUCUGUUUUGGUACCGGUACCACACUGUCUUGAUGACUGUGGCUUUGUAGUAUUGCCUGGAGUCUGGGACAGUUAUGCCUCCUGCUUGGUUGUUGUUCCUCAAGAUUGCUUUGGCAAUUCUGGGUCUUUUAUGCUUCCAUAUAAAAUUUUGGAUUGUUGUUCUAGUUCUGUGAAAACUGCCAUGGGUACUUUGAUAGAGAUUGCAUUGAAUCUGUAAAUUGCUUUGGAUAGUGUAGCCAUUUUUACGAUAUUAAUUCUUCCAAUCCAGGAACAUGGGAUAUCUUUCCAUUUCUUUGAAUCCUCCUUAAUUUCCUUGAUUAAUGUUUUAUAGUACUCAGCAUAUAAGUCUUUCACCACCUUGAUCAGGUUUAUUCCUAGAUAUUUAAUUUUUGGUGGUGUGAUUUUAAGAGGUAUUGUAUUUUUAUACUCCUUUUAGACCAUUUCAUUGUUAGGUCUACUGAAAUGCAAUCGAUUUCUGAAUGCUAAUCUUGUAUCCUGAUACUUUGCUGAAUUCAUUGAUCAGUUUGAGUAGUUUCUGGGAGUCCUUAGGGUUUUCCACAUAUAGUAUCAUGUCAUCUGCAUACAGUGACAAUUUUACCUCUUCUCUUCAAAUCUGGAUACUUUUAUUUCUUUUGUCUGAUUGCUGUAGCUAGGACUUUCAAUACUAUAUUGAAUAAAAGUGGUGAGAGUGGGCAUCCUUGUCUUAUUCCAGAUUUUAGUGGGAAGGCUUUUAGCUUUUCUUCAUUGGGUAUUAUAUUUGCUGUGGGUUUAUCUUAAAUGGCUUUUAUUAUGUUAUGUUCCCUCUAUGACCACUUUAGUAAGAGUUAUCAUGAAUGGAUGCUGGACUUCAUCAAAUGUUUUUUCUGCAUCUAUUGAGAUGAUCAUGUGAUUUUUUACUUUUCUUUUGUUAAUGUGGUGUAUGAAAUUGAUUGAUUUGCAUAUGUUGAACAAUCCUUGUGAACCUUUGAUGAAUCCCACUUGGUCGUGGUCUAUGAUCUUUUUUUAUAUGUUGUUGGAUUUGGUUGGCUAAAAUUUUGUUGAGAAUUUUUGCGUCUAUAUUCAUCAAAGAUAUUGGCCUAUAAUUUUCUUUUUUGGUAGUACCUUUGUGUGGCUUUGGUAUUAGGAUGAGGGUGGUUUCAUAGAUUGCAUUUGGAAAUGUUCCUUCAUCUUCAACCUUUUGGAAAAGUUUAAAAAGGAUGGGAUUUAAGUUCUUCUUUAUAUGUUUGGUAGAAUUCACCUGUGAAACAAUCUGGUUAUGGACUUUUGUUUGUAGGGAGUUUUUUUAUUACAUAUUCAAUUUCAUUUCUAGUGAUCCAUCUGUUCAACUGGUCUAUUUCUUCUCAAUUCAGUUUUGGUGGGCUCUAAGUAUCGAGAAAGCGGUCCAUUUCUUCCAGUUGUCAAAUUUCUUAGCAUUUAAUUGUUCAUAGUAUUCUCUUAUGGCUUUUUGUAUUUCUGCAGUAUCAGUUGAGAUUUCUCCUUUUUCAUUUCUUAUUUUGAGUUCUUUCUUUCCUUGGUGAGUCUGGCCAGAGGUUUGUCAAUUUUGUUUACCCUUUCAAAGAAUCAGCUCUUGGCUUUAUUGAAUUUUUUUUUUUUUCCUAUUGUGCUUUACAUCUAUAUUUUAUUGAUUUCCUUUCUGAUCUUUAUAUCUUCUUUCUUCUACUUACUUUAGAUUUUUUUUGUUCUUCUUUUUCUAAUUCAUUUAGAUGUUGGGUUAAGUUGUGGAUUUGAGAUUUUUCUUCUUUUUUGAGGAAGGCCUGCGUUGCUAUGAACUUCCCUCUAAGCACUGCUUUUGCGGCAUCCCGUAGGCUUUGAAUGCUUGUGUCUUCAUUAUCAUUUGUCUCAAGGUAUUUUUUAAUUUACUUUUUGAUUUCCUCAUUGACCCAUUGGUUUUUUUAGUAGCUUGCUGUUUAGCCUCCAUUUUUUUCCCAUUUCUGUUCCUGUGGUUGAUUUAUAGUUUCAUACAAUUUGUGGUCAGAGAAGAUACUUGAAAUAAUUUCUAUACUCUUAAAUUUGUUCAGGUUAGUUUGUGCCCCAGUAUGUGGUCAAUCCUUGAGAAUGUUCCAUGUGCGCUUGAAUACAAUGCAUAUUCUAUUUUUUUUCUUGUUGUCAUUGUAAUAUCCUGAAAAUGUCAAUUAAGGCUAACUUUUCUAUUGUGUGAUUUAGGAUCUCUGUUGCCUUGUUGUUGUUCUGUCUAGAGUAUCUGUCCAUUUAUGUGAGUGGGGUAUUAAAGUCUCAUACUAUUAUUGUAUUCUCAUCAAUUUCUCCUUUUAUGUCUGUUUGUAUUUGUUGUGUGUAUCUGGGUGCUCCUAUAUUAGGGGCAUAUAUAUUGACAAUUAUAAUAUCCUCAUCUUGAAUGGAUCCUUGGAUCCUUUUAUCAUUAAAUAGUGUCCUUCUUUGUCUUUCUUUAUGGCCUUCUUUUUAAAGUCUAUUUUGUCUGAUAUGAGUAUUGCAACUCCUACUUUCCUGUCUUGUACACUGGCAUGAAAUAUGUUUUCCCAUCCCCUCACUUUCAGUCUAUAUGUAUCCUUUGCCCAAUGUGAUACUCUUGUACACAGUAUAUUAGAGGCUCUUGCUUUUUAAUCCAAUCUACCACUCUGUCUCUUGAUUGGAGCAUUCAUACCAUUGACAUUUAAGGUACUUUUUGAUAAAUAUGUAUUUAUUGUCAUUUUAAAGCUUAUUUUCCAGUUGAUUCUUUGUUUCUCUUUUGUUCCUUUCUUUUUUGGUUGGAUACCUUCCUUUUAUUUUAUGCUUGUGUCCUGGAUACCUUCCUUUUAUUUUAUGCUUGUGUCCUUUUCUUUUUAGUUUUUGUGAAUGUAAUGUUUGGUUUUGAUUUGUGGUUGCCUUUUUGUAUGUCAACCCCUUCCUAUAUCUACUUGCUUUAGCCUGAUAGUCAUAUAGGCUCAAACACAUU